rnacentral:lncRNA from 1 species
AAAAAUCCUAGAUAUAUAAUUAACAUUCAAAAUAAAAUCAACAAUGUUAAAUAAAAGACGUAGUCUUGGUUACCUUCGAAUUAGCACAGGUGAUAACUAAAUAUCAGGACCUUAGGUACUGCUAACCUUAGUCUGGAUCAUGCAAAAUCUUUACAGGUUAAUCUAAUGAAAGUGGGGUCCUUCAAAUUGAUUUGGGUUUCACCAGAUUCAAGUAAAAUUUCCUAGUUGCCUUUCGAGGAUUUGAAAAUAAUUUGUAAGGCUCAAUAUGUGUUUUCAAGGGGCAUAGGCUUUUAUAAAAUUAAGGUCCUAUCUCAAACCGACAACAUGAAGUGAAAACAAUAAUAACCUAAAGAUAAACUAGUUUAUAGGGAAAGGCUGAAAAAUAAUUUUGUAAAGGAAAGAUACGACCUCUUCUUACAGAUCUGAUUCAGUGGAUGAGUUUGGAUGUCAGAGUGUAGGAUGCAGAACCGGAACCCGACGAUUUGUAGAAGAUGCUGCUGAAAAAUGGCUGACUGCAGUGUUGUUGUAGAAGUCCAACUCACGGCAGGGUCUGGAUCCAGGUGCAGGGCCUGAAAGCUGGGCCCGCAAGAUACUGGGCCAGAGGAUCAGCUGGGCCCGCAAGACACUGAACCGG